rnacentral:tRNA from 1 species
UGCUGACCGGGGCGCUCGGACGUCCGGUGCGGCUCCAGACCGUGUCGGACGACGACGUCCGCGCGGCGCUCGGCUCGGCGGGCCUGCACCC